rnacentral:snoRNA from 1 species
AUGACAAUACUUUCAGGGAUCAUUUCUAUAGUAUCCAACUAUAGAAAUGCACUCAAACACUGGAGGCUUUCAAGAAGAGAUUAGACUGCCAUCUGUCAGAAAUGAUGUAGACUAGUGUCUCCUGCUUGGGCGGGAGGGGGUUGGACUAGAUGACCUACAAAGUCCCUUCCAACUGUUUUAAUCUAAAGUAGUGGUUUGA